UCUGCUCUUUUUUUUUUUCUUUUUUUAAUAGACAAGGUCUCAUUCUAUCUGCCUGUCCUGAUACAGAGCCUGCCCCUGACUCCUGAGGGCUGGAAUUAAAGGUGUAUGUCACCACAUCUGUUUUUAAGGUGUCUUGUAUGCUGAUUAAAUUGGAUUGUGUUCCAGUUUUGUCUAGAUCAUAUAUUUUCCUUUGGUUUUGUUGAGAACUCUGUUGGAUAACAUCUUUUCAGUAACUUAAGUGGAAAGGACAGCAGGAAAUUGUCUGGGUAGCUGGGAAUAACUGUCUCAUAUUUGAUUAAUAGUUGGUUGGGCAAGGUUAUUUUAACAUUUUGUCUUGGUCCAAGAGAGUGCCAUUUUGUCCCUCUGUCUUCUAGCAUUUAUUGCUGUCUGUCUGUCUGUCAUUCUCUCUCUUUCUCUCACUCUUCUUUCUUUCUCUCUUUCUCUCCCUCUCUCCUUUUUUAGGUUUUUUGAUACAGAGUUUCUCUGUGUAGCCCUGGCUGUCCUGGAACUCACUCUGUAGACCAGGCUGGUCUCGAACUCAGAAAUCUGCCUGCCUCUGCCUCCUAAGUGCUGGGACUAAAGGCGUGCGCCACCCCUGCUGGGUGAUAUACGGUCUCUUUGACAGCUCUUUGUGCUUUCUCUUGCUGUGAUAUGGCACUGACCAGAAACAACUUGGGGAGAGGAGGAUUUAUUUCUCCUCCAGGUUUAAUUCCAUCAUGGGGGGAAGCGAGUCAGGAACUCAGGAACUCCGUCAGGAGCGGAGGAACACUGUUGGAGAGUCCCGCUUCCCAGGUAGGUCUGUCUUAGGUUUGUGUCAAGUUGACAGAAGCUAGCCGGCACAGUCUCCUCUGGUCCAUCCUAGAAAACUUUUGGAAAUUUUGUUGCAGGUUUCUGAAGUUGCUGACUGAUGGUGUGAGAUACAGUUUCCUGAGCCCCUGCCCUUCAAUCUCAGGCCUUUUGAUUCUAGGCUUGGUUUUCUAGUGAUGUGGUUUUUUUGGGAAAUAGGUCACCUUAGCCUUUCCUCACUCCAUUUUUUCUCUUGUCUUUCCCCAGACCUUUUUGCACACACCAGAUACUAUAAAGUUAAGGACAGGCCUUUUUAAUUUUUACUGGAAAAUUACCUCAAAUUCUUUUCAGAUUAGAUAAUGACCUUAAUUUGAUUGUAAUUUAUAUAGCCUUGGCUGGUCUGGAGUUCACUGUGCAGAACAGGCUGCCUGGCCUUGAAUUUACAGAGUCUGCCUCUCAAAUGCUUGGAUCACAGGUUUGCACCAUCACACCCACCCUGUUCAUCAGUUUGGGAUUUGUGGGUAGGAGUUGUGGAUGUGCAUUCUCUGGAUAGUACGUGAAGGUCAGAGGUCAGAUCUGUGGGCUCAGUGUUUCCUACCCACCUUUCCACCAGUUCUGAAGAUCCACUGGGGGUUGCCAGGCUUGCCACCAAGCUCCAUCUCGACAGCCCAGCAGUCACUUUCCUGUUUGAAAUAGGUUGCCACUAUGUCAUGUCAACUGGCCUCAGACAGAGAUCGACUGGCCUGGGCCUCCCAAACACUGGGGUUAAAGGCUUGUGCCACUACGCCGGUGCAUACCAUCUUUAUUAGUGUCCGGUGAGAGGGCUAGUGACUAUCCCAUCAUCUUUUAAAUAAGUUACUUUUGAAUGAUAAAGGAAGUAUAAUUUGGAAAAUGAAAAGGAAGGAUUGUUUUAUUGUUGGUUUGAGUCCAUAUGGCCCUUGGACUUGUUUAAAAAUCUGUACGUUUUUUACUUUGAGCCAAUGUUUAUGGAGUAAUUACUAUUGAGGCAGACUAUAUUAUGGAAACAGUUGUAGUAUAGUUUUUUUUUUUUUCCUGUUUUUAAUCAUCUUUUAGAGCCAGGCAGUGGUGGUUCAUGCUAUUGAUUCUAGAACUUCACAGGCAGAGGCAGGUGAAUCUCUGAGUUUGAGACCAGCCUGGUCUACAGAAAGAGUUACAGGACAGCCAGAGCUAAACAGAGAAACCCUGCCUUGAAACCCCACCUUUUUGGCUCCUUAGUGUUCCUUAGACGAGAGAAUUUGCUGGUCCUGGUGUUGUGGGCACCUGUAAUGCCUACACUUGGGAAGCUGAGACUGGAAGCGUUAAUGGUUGAGGUCAGCCUGAGUUACAGAGACUGUCUUAGGGUUUCUAUGCUGUAAAGAAACACCAUGACCGCCGGGCGUGGUGGCGCACGCCUUUAAUCCCAGCACUUGGGAGGCAGAGGCAGGUGGAUUUCUGAGUUCGAGGCCAGCAUGGUCUAAAAAAUGAGUUCCAGGACAGCCAGGGCUACACAGAGAAACCCUGUCUCGAAAAACCAACCAACCAACCAAACAAACAAACAAAAAGACCCCCCAAAAAACAUAACAAGAACCAAGAAACACCAUGACCACAGCGACUCUUAAAAAGGAAAGCAGUUAGUUGGGGCUGGCUUACAGUUCAAAGGUUUAGUCUACUGUCACCGUGGUGGCACAGGCAGCUGUGGUGCUGAAGGAGCUCAGAGUCAACAUCUGGAUCAGCAGGCAGCAGGGAGAGAGUGACCCUGGGCCUGGUUGGGCUUCUGAAACUCCAAAGCACACACUUCGUCCAACAAAGCCACCCCUACUUUCUCUAAAGAAAAAGACUUCCCCUCCCAAUAGUGCUACUCCCUAUGAGCCUAUGGGGGCAUUUUCAUUCAAACCACCAUAGAGACCUUAUCUCAAAAAGACUCCAAAUCAUCAAACAAGC
rnacentral:lncRNA from 1 species